GAAAUGAGACAGAUGCUAUCAUGAAACACAAAGCAGAAAGUCUGUUAAAUAGAGCUUCCCUUGAAGAAAAGGUGAAAUCUUCUCUCUACAAGCUCCAGGUGUGAUACUGACCUGCUAAAACCUGACUGCCACCAAAUGUAACCCACCAACCUCUCUGAUCUGUACCUUGGAGCUACAAAGCACAUGGAAAC
rnacentral:lncRNA from 12 species